ACGGCGCUGUGGCCGCAGGCCCCCGCGGCUCGGACGUGGCCGUGGAGACGCUCAGGGAGGAGGGACGAGGCUUUCCUCUGCAAGCCUCCCCCCCCCAGGAGGCGGGCUGCGCUGGAAACCCGGCCCCUGGGGCGUCCGAGCUGUGGGCACCGAGCGCUGGGCACCGGCCGGGUGAGCGCAGAGUGAGGCGCGUUAGCAGGGAGCUGGAUCAGAAGUGGAGCAGCUGAGACUUGAACCCGCGCCCAUAUUGGAUGCAGGACUGGGGAUUAACCCGCCACGCCACAGCACAGACUCAAACCUCCCCUGAGGCGGGGCCGUGCUUACCUUGUUCGUGGCCCGCUCAGCACCUAGCACAACGCCUGACGCCUGAUUUUUGCCUCCAUAUUUGUGAAAUGAAUGAAUGAGAAUGAUUUUACCCAGAGAGGAUAAGGCGAGGCUUUCAGAGGCUAAAAGAAAAUUCCACAUCCUGUGGUUAUGACUUACGAAGCCAUAGCCUGCCUGAAGGCUGGAGAGGAUCACGGGAACUGGUGACGCUGAAAUGCCUCUCAGACGUCGCCAGCUGGGAGCCGCCUGCAGAGCGGUGCGGACAGCCCAGACCACGCGGCAGUAACAGAUCUUAAGUCUGCAGCUUCCAGUGUAGGCUGUGUCUCCUGCUGCGGGAGCAUCUCUGGUGCUUUGUGCCUCUGCCACGUGUGGUCUCUGCUCUUCACCGCCGGCUGACAGAGCUGACCUUGGUCCUGUCCGGAACCUCAGACGUCAAGGAGAGAGAGGCAAAGCGCGGACUGGCUGGUGGCGCUUCUGCCUCCGUGAUGGGCACUGCUCACUUUCCCUGGCCGCAGGACGUCGCAUGGCCACGCCUGCUGUCUGUAGAAUGCAGAAGAAGGAAGCACACGGUGGCUUUUGAAGCUAUUGCAAGGAAAUGACCCGUGGCGCCUCAUCUUAUGUCUGCCUGGCCAAAGUAAGCCCUGGCCACGCACCGCCCAGGGGGCAGAGAAACGGAACCCACCUCCCUGGAGACAUAGCCAGUGGUGUUGAACAGUCACGUAGUUUCCCAGGGAAGCGAAGAGGCUACAUGGGGCAUGUUGUACAGUGGGGAAGACUUGCAUCACUCAAGUCCUUGCCUAAGCCAGGAGCCCUGAACGCCACCUGGGUCUCCACGUGGGUGGCGAGGACCCGAGUACUUGAGCCGUCACUGCUGCCUCCCAGGGUGCCCGUCAGCAGGAAGCCGGAUCAGAAGUGGAGGCAGCAUGUGACCCCAGGUGCUCUAACACGGGAUGUGGGUGCCCCUAGAAGUGGCCUGACCGGCUGUGCCGAAUGCCCGCCCCUGUUCUCCGUUUCGAGAUGUUUGCAGCUCACCACUCCCAGUCUUUCCCAACGUCGGGCCUGCUGGACUCUCCUUUUCAGACUAAAGAGCAGGUCAGCAUACGACCUCCAAGUGUAAAAGUAGAGAUUUAUUAAGGAUCUGCAGUGUGACCAAGUGCUAAAGACACUCCCUGGAGGAUUGGAGUGAUGUGAUCAUUAUCAAAUGGUGAUCUUAUUUUGUAAGACGUAUUUAUUUAUUUGAAACAGAGAGGGAGAGAAAGAAAGAGAGAGGUCGAUCUUCCAUCUGCUGGUUCACUCCCCAAAUGGCCUCAAUGGGUUGAGUCAGGCCAAAGCCAGGCGGCAGGAGCUUCUUCCAGGUCUCCCAUGUGGGUGCAGGGGCCCGAGGACUUGAGUCAUCUUCCGCUUCUUUCCCAGGCCAUUAGCAGGGAGCUGGAUUGGAAGUGGAGCAGCCGGGACUUGAACUGGGAUGCUGGCACUUCAGACAGCAGCUUAACCCACUGAGCCACAGCGCCAGUCCCUGAAAUGUCUAUUUUAAAUCUUACCCUUUGCACGGGAGCUCGGAGCCUGUGUGUCCCCAACCCAGUGCCAGGCCCAGCUCGCCCUGCUGUCAGGGUCGCCCCGGGCUGAGGCCUUGUUUUCAGAGCUGUAGGACCCAAAAAAAAAAAAAAAAAAAAAAUCUUACCCUGAGAGUGAUAAGUUAGCAGCUACCUUAAUAGAGUAUAUAUGCAUGUGUAUAUAUAGGUGGAUACCCCAAAAAGUUCAUGCAAAGUGGAAUUUAAAGAUAUUUAUUCUGGGGCUGGUGCUGCGGCUCACUCGGCUAAUCCUCCGAC